rfam:Capsicum annuum cultivar Zunla-1 unplaced genomic scaffold scaffold1276, whole genome shotgun sequence
ACUUCAUGAUUCGGGCAUUAUAUAAGUUUUUCAUUGAGCCUUUACCAUACCUCAUAUAAGGGCUCACCACUAAGUUGACAAAAAUUUUUGAUUUUUUCUCAUAGU